GCCACAGCCUCAGCCAGCUUCUCCAGCUGUGAGAGUGGGGGGAAGAAGAAAGGGGGGAAGGGAACAGAAACUGCUGCUGCUCCGGCCCAGAGAAGGAUCCCGAAUCCUGGAUCCCAUUGCCCUUCUGCCUGUGCUGGGGAAAGGCGCCGCCGUCCCAGCCUGCCCCGUUCCCGGCCCGCUCGCACCGCCGGCUCCCGCAGCCCCGCGCUCGGCCCUGGCUCCGGCCCCGCGGGGCUCCGACCUGCACGGCGGGGCCGGCCUGGGCUCCAUGGCCAAGGUGCACGGAAGUUGGAAGUUAACUUCGCUGGGACCUGCAUCUCAUCGCUGGGCAGGUCGCCACCGGCAACAAGAACCACUGAAAGAGACAAAAAUCAUCCCCCAGAUCUCCUACUCCUACAGCUUUGGAGAAAAUUACCAAUGCUCUGCAAAACAGACAAGCACAUUGUUAGGUUCCAGAUAAACCUUUUUUCCUUGCAGUUCUAGGAGAAACACUGAGACUGUAUGGCUUCAUCUUCCAUUGGGACUCUUCUCAAAAUAAUCCUUUGUUAAUAAUUGAAUGGCUUUUUCUUUCUUACAGGUCACCAAAGACAAUCACUUUUAGAGAUGAUUUCUCAAACUGUCAUUAAGGGCAAGGAGAGUGAACCUCGUUUUUCACAAUGGGGAUAAAAUGGGGCAUGGGAUGCUCAAAUGCCUCAAGAAAGAACCAAAACAACCCAAGCACCACAUUCCCCUCAUGCCUGGGCUGGCAGCCCAGCAGCUCAAGUAGAAGAGUCUUCCAGGAGCUCAGGGGAGCAGCAGCCCUUGUGCUGAGGCACAGCCUGUGGAGAAAGGGGUGUCCCUGCUGCUGUCACAGCUGGCCCAGGACCGACAGGACCACCUGGAGAGCUGUGCAGGGAGCAGGCAGGAGACACGAGGUGCAGAAGGGACCUCCUUGCUUCCUGAACAUCUCAGAGAGGAGCCAGGCUGCAGCUGGAUGCAGUCCUAGACUAGUCAAUAGUUUAUGUUUAAAGGAUAGUAUAGGUGUAACUGAGCCUUUAUACAACUGUGUUCCAUAGGAUGAAAGAUAUAUUUAUAGAAAAAUAAAGAGUUUAUUAUGAUCACCAUGAAA